rfam:Podospora anserina genomic DNA, chromosome 5.
GCGGGUUUAGCUCAGUUGGGAGAGCGUCAGACUGAAGUUAACUUCAGGAAGUCAAUCUGAAGGUCGUGUGUUCGAUCCACACAAACCGCA